rnacentral:lncRNA from 1 species
CCCGAACUGCCAACCCACGAAUUCACCAACUCCCGAACUGCAACCAAGGGAAUACUCGAAACUCCCGAACUGCAUACCAAGUAGCACUCCAAACUCCUGAACUGGAGACACACGAAUAGCUGUUAGCAGACUAACAGGAAAAGCCCCCAAGCGGCUUACACUCCUGGCAAUCAGUCUCUAACAGCACACAGCAAAUCCCCCAAAGA